AAUCCUUCUCUUUUCUCACUCAACUCAAACCCCCUCCCUUCUCUCUCUCUCUACCUCGCGACCCUUGACGCCGUCCCAUAGCUCUCCGACUCCCUCGAUUUCUCUUCUUUUUACUCUUGGUAGCUCCCAGCGACGCCACCUGCCGGCUGCCGCCUCCAUUCGCUGCUAUUUCGCCUCCAUUCCCUCUCUAUUUCGCCUCCGUCGACCCCUUUCCAGAAACCACCAAAUACCAACACCGAAGCCCAGCCGUGCCCAAACACCAAAAACCAGCACCAUCAAACCACCAGAUCUACAAAAAGAACCACCAAUACCACCCAAAUCCGUCAUGAGACCCAUCACGCACGGAGGAUAUCACCCAAAGCCGUGAAUAUGUCGGCGCUCUGAUUUUCGCAGCGACAUAUUCACGACCUCCAGAUCUGUCCAAAUCUACAACAAGAGCCACCAAGACACCCAAAUCCGUCAUGAGACUACCACGCACGGAAGAUAUUCACCCACAAGAGCCCUCGUUCGCCUCGAACACGCCCUCACCAUGGCUGAUUCUUCCACCAUCGUCUGGCUUCAGACCGCCAUCAAAUUUAACGGCGGAGUUUUCAUCUCUCUCUCUCUCUCUCUCCCCGCAUGCAUGUAGUGGAAUUCACUCAUGAGGCCUCUAAUUCAUUUGACUCAAGGACUCAAACAAAUAGAUCCUCCGCUCUAUUUCUGUUUGUUUUGUUUCUUGUGCGAGGUAUUGAUUAUUCGGUUUCAUUCGAUGUCGUUUUGUGUGUCCCUGAUCACAUUUCUGAGACUGUUAUGACAGGAACUAGGUGAUGAGCCGCCAAAGCCUUCCUUAGGCUCAGCCAUUGACGCACAGUAUGGUUCUUUUGAUGCAGUGAUUCAGAAAGUCAAUGCAGAAGGUGCUGCUUUGCAAGGCUUGGGUUGGAAGUUUUCGAAAACUUUUUUUUAGCUAUUUUCUGAGUUACAUCAGAUUCUGAAUGUAUUGGAUGGAUCUCAGAAAUCAAUUAAUGGGGAACUAUAUAAUUAAUUGAAUUCUGGACAGUGGCUUGCUCUGGAUAAAGAGCGGAAGCAGCUCUCAGUUGAAACCCCCGCGGACCAGGAUCCACUGGUAACUAAAGGAUCCGCUUUGGUCCCGCUGAUUGGAAUAGAUGUUUGAGCGCAUGCAUACUACCUGCAGAUGUUUUCUUUCUUCCCGCUGCGUAGCAAUGAUGAUAAAUGCUUCUGCUCACCUGUCAGAAUGAGGAUUGCUUCUUUGAUACCGUUAUGUGUAAUCCAAUUAUCUGAAGAACAUAUGGAAGGUUAUUAACUGGAAAUAUGCAAGUGAAAUUUAUGAGAAAGAGUGUCCUUGAGACAACAAUAAGCUCUUAGUACUGUGGUUAGGCUUUUUACUGAAUGCCAGGUCUCGCCAGCUAUAUAUGUAUGUUAAUACUAGCAUCUUUGUACAGUUUGUUAUGAAGUUUUGUCUUUUGGUUGUCUUUCCUUGUAUCAGACAUUAUGCAUGUAAUAAGAUUAGGUUUCGUAUGGUGUGCUUGCUUUUGAUAUUCAUGUACAGUUUUUGAUAGCCCUUAUCAAUGAUUAUUUGAUCUUACUGCAUGUUAAAAUGUCAAACUUCAAAUUCUUUUAGACAUUUCAUCUUUUGGAUCCUGAUCUGGCCAGCUUGAUUUGGAAGAGAUGGGGAAGAAGUACAUAUCAAAUGGUUCUUCAGAUUCAAGUAUCAUGCUAUCAUACUGAAGGGAUGCAUUUGGCCUGGAGGAGCACUAUAAUUUUGUGAUCCCAAUUUGAUCGAAUAUAUGUGUUUUGAAUUAUGAGUAUAAAAUUAGUUGAAGAGGUACUGUGUUGUUGGAUCAUAAUAAUCUUCCUGUCAUAAGAUGAUUGUUUUAAUUUAAAGUACAUAAAUUUUUAUUGAA